CCUACGGGCGGCUGCAGUGGGGAAUAUUGGACAAUGGGGGGAACCCUGAUCCAGCCAUGCCGCGUGUGUGAAGAAGGCCCUCGGGUUGUAAAGCACUUUCAGUGAGGAAGAACGCCUGGUGGUUAAUACCCAUCAGGAAAGACAUCACUCACAGAAGAAGCACCGGCUAACUCCGUGCCAGCAGCCGCGGUAAUACGGAGGGUGCGAGAGUUAAUCGGAAUUACUGGGCGUAAAGCGCGCGUAGGUGGCUUGAUAAGCCGGUUGUGAAAGCCCCGGGCUCAACCUGGGAACGGCAUCCGGAACUGUCAAGCUAGAGUGCAGGAGAGGAAGGUAGAAUUCCCGGUGUAGCGGUGAAAUGCGUAGAGAUCGGGAGGAAUACCAGUGGCGAAGGCGGCCUUCUGGACUGACACUGACACUGAGGUGCGAAAGCGUGGGUAGCAAACAGGAUUAGAUACCCUUGUAGUC
rnacentral:rRNA from 1 species